AUACUUACCUGGCAGGGGAAAUACCAUGAUCAUGAAGGCAGUUUUCCUAGGGCAAGGUUUAUCCAUUACACUCUGGAUGUGCAGAACCCUGUGAUUUUCCUAAAUUCAGAAAACUUGACUGGAUAAUUUGUGGUGGUGGUGGUGGGGGACUGUGUUCACGCUCUCUCU
rnacentral:snRNA from 1 species